rnacentral:lncRNA from 1 species
AAAAAAAUGAAAUCAAGGUUAAGCCGUGCAAACGUGCUUCGUAAUUAAAUAAUUGUUACCGACCGUCCCUAGAGUAAGUGGCAAAGGACUUGAUAGUUGGUACCCGAGGUUCCAAAUUCGAAUUCUCGUUGAUUUACAUUUCUAGCUAAGUUUAUUUCUAAAUAAAAUAAACGAAGCGGGUAGCGUACUAUCUAUCUCUAAAAAAAAAUAAAUAAAUAAAUAAAUAAAUAAUCGUUGAAUUUUGGAUAGUAAAGUUCAUGGACUAAAGAAAGAAUUGCUUAAUUAGGUUGAGAAAAGGGG